ACUCAAAGGAAUUGACGGGGACCCGCACAAGCGGUGGAGUAUGUGGUUUAAUUCGAAGCUACGCGUAGAACCUUACCAGCUCUUGACAUGUUGAUCGUACGAUAGAGAGAUCUAUUGGUCAGUUCGGCUGGAUCAAACACAGGUGCUGCAUGGCUGUCGUCAGUUCGUGUCGUGAGAUGUUGGGUUAAGUCCCGCAACGAACGCAACCCUUGUCGCUAGUUGCCAUCAUUAAGUUGGGCACUUUAGCGAAACUGCCGGUGAUAAGCCGGAGGAAGGCAGGGAUGAUGUCAAGUCAUCAUGGCCCUUAUGGGCUGGGCUACACACGUACUACAAUGGUAAUGACAAAGCGCAGAGCAAAGAUGUGAGUCUAAGCAAAUCGCAAAAAAUUACCUCAGUUCGGAUUGUUCUCUGCAACUCGAGAACAUGAAGUUGGAAUCGCUAGUAAUCGUAGAUCAGAACGCUACGGUGAAUACGUUCCCGGGUCUUGUACACACCGCCCGU
rnacentral:rRNA from 1 species